UACAGAGGGUGCGAGCGUUGUCCGGAAUUAUUGGGCGUAAAGGGCUCGUAGGCGGUUUGUCGCGUCGGGAGUGAAAACCUCGGGCUUAACUCGGGGCUUGCUUUCGAUACGGGCAGACUAGAGGUAUGCAGGGGAGAACGGAAUUCCUGGUGUAGCGGUGAAAUGCGCAGAUAUCAGGAGGAACACCGGUGGCGAAGGCGGUUCUCUGGGCAUGAUCUGACGCUGAGGAGCGAAAGUGUGGGGAGCGAACAGG
rnacentral:rRNA from 1 species